rnacentral:rRNA from 1 species
GACGAACGCUGGCGGCGUGCUUAACACAUGCAAGUCGAACGAUGAAGCUAGAGCUUGCUCUGGUGAAUUAGUGGCGAACGGGUGAGUAACACGUGAGUCACCUGCCCCGAACUCUGGGAUAACUGCUGGAAACGGUAGCUAAUACUGGAUACGACCUACGAAGCCAUCUUCACUAGGUGGAAAGAAUUUCGGUUCGGGAUGGACCCGCGGCCUAUCAGCUUGUUGGUGAGGUAAUGGCUCACCAAGGCGAUGACGGGUAGCCGGCCUGAGAGGGUGACCGGCCACACGGGGACUGAGACACGGCCCAGACUCCUACGGGAGGCAGCAGUGGGGAAUAUUGCACAAUGGGCGCAAGCCUGAUGCAGCAACGCCGCGUGAGGGAUGACGGCCUUCGGGUUGUAAACCUCUUUUAGUAGGGAAGAAGCGAAAGUGACGGUACCUGCAGAAAAAGCACCGGCUAACUACGUGCCAGCCGCCGCUGUAA